GUGCAAGUUCUGUGUACAAGUGUGAGAAGUUUUCCCUGCUUGCUCUUUGUUUAAUGGGAGAGCACCUGAUAAUGACACCGGCAUUUCACCUCCAAGUUGUUCAGCUGCAGGUUUUAGAUGUGGAAGCUCCAUUUGUGCCUGGCUUUGCAAAGGAGUUCUGCAAACGCCUGACAUUAAGAAAUGAGAAUAUAAUUUUGCUUUGUUUUUUUAAUCCCAAUGGUUUACCACAAAAAACACCACUGCCAGUGCUUUGAUAGAAAUCCAGGCUGCUCCUGUUCCAAAAGACCCAGGUAUUUUUCCCCAAAGGUCAGCUUGUUCAUGAUAAAG
rnacentral:lncRNA from 1 species